GCACAGACUUGGUGGGCCGAUGGGCCCGUUUCCACGCUGCCCCUCCACAAGGGGGCACAGUUCCUGGGGCAUCACGUGGAUGAAAGGGUUUGGUGAAGAGCCAGGACCACAAUGUUGUGCACCCGACCCGCUCACAUGGACCAUUGGGAACUUCCCGAGUUUUCCUAAAGGCAGUAUUCCCAAAUGGACCCUGACUGUUUCUGUGAGGCAUAUUUUCCACAGAGAACCGGGGAAAUGCACCGCGACUGUCUUCCUCUGACUUUCAGCAAAACUUCCUUUGUCAGGCGAGAUUAGUGUGUGCCACAGGACACGGCUGAUUGAAUCCAAGGAACAUCGCAGACUCUGUCUGCCUCCAGUGUUUGCGCGUGUAAUCCAGAACAUAUGUACAACGCAAAACUUCUUAAAGACCACCAGUCUUUGAAAACUGAUUAACAUUUUAUUUUGUUGAGAUAAUUCCAAGUUAAUCAGUUUUGAAAG